CACUAUCCCAAGAGGAAGACUUCCUGCACAGGUGUGUGUGAGGAGGAGAAACACCCUGCAGUUCUCCCGGUCCAUGUUACCAGAUGAAUCCAUAAAACACAUUUCUCCACUAUUGGAGAGACUGUGUGUUUGUUUCAUCAACGGGGAACAAAUGGCUACAAGUGGUGUUCCUGCUGAAGAUAUUUUAAGCUUGGCGCAGGGAGAAAAUGGCAGCAAGAAGUCCAACAACAAACAGUAUGGACCACACAGAAAUCUGAUCUCACCAUCAGAGUCCAACAGGGAUUACAUGAAGAGACAAAAAAAAAA